AGCAGCCGCGGUAAUUCCAGCUCCAAUAGCGUAUAUUAAAGUUGUUGCAGUUAAAAAGCUCGUAGUUGAAUUUCGGGAUCAAUACGUCGGUCGUGCUUUCGGGUACGUACUGGCGUCAUUGGUUUCUCCUUUCUGACGAACCAUGAUGUCAUUAAUUUGGUGUUAUGGGGAGUUAGGACUGUUACUUUGAAAAAAUUAGAGUGUUUAAAGCAGGCAUUAGCUUGAAUACAUUAGCAUGGAAUAAUGAAAUAGGACGUUCGAUCCUAUUUUGUUGGUUUCUAGGAUCAACGUAAUGAUUAAUAGGGAUAGUUGGGGGCAUUAGUAUUCAAUUGUCAGAGGUGAAAUUCUUGGAUUUAUUGAAGACUAACUACUGCGAAAGCAUUUGCCAAGGAUGUUUUCAUUAAUCAAGAACGAAAGUUAGGGGAUCGAAGACGAUCAGAUACCGUCGUAGUCUUAACCAUAAACUAUGCCGACUAGGGAUCGGAUGAUGUUAAUUUUUUAAUGACUCAUUCGGCGCCUUACG
rnacentral:rRNA from 3 species